rnacentral:rRNA from 1 species
GAACGAACGCUGGCGGCGUGGAUUAGGCAUGCAAGUCGCACGAGGGAGCGUCCCGAAAGGGGCGCAAACCGAGUGGCGUAAGGGUGAGUAAUGCAUUGAUAACCUACCUUUGAGAUGGGAACAACAACGUUCCAAGUAAUUGGGGCUACCGAAAGGGUUGCUAAUUCUCAAUAAAAAUGCUGACACUUUGGUGUCGGCAGUCAAAGAAAUGGAUCUGAAAAGGUCCAUUUGCUCAGAGAGGGGUCAAUGUCCUAUCAGCUAGUUGGUAGGGUAAUGGCCUACCAAGGCGAAGACGGGUAGCCGGCCUGAGAGGGUGGUCGGCCACACUGGGACUGAGACACUGCCCAGACUCCUACGGGAGGCCGCAGUCGAGAAUCUUUCGCAAUGCCCGAAAGGGUGACGAAGCGACGCCGCGUGUGGGAUGAAGGCCUUCGGGUUGUAAACCACUGUCGGGAGUUAAGAAUUGUAGGAAUGCUAAUAGUAUUUCUACUUGACUAAGGCUCCGGAGGAAGCCACGGCUAACUCUGUGCCAGCAGCCGCGGUAAUACAGAGGCGGCAAGCGUUGUUCGGAAUUAUUGGGCGUAAAGAGCAUGUAGGCGGCUAUGUAAGUCGGUUGUGAAAGCCUUCCGCUUAACGGAAGAAUGGCGGUCGAAACUGCAUGCUUUGAGUGCGGGAGGGGAGAGUGGAACUUCUGGUGGAGCGGUGAAAUGCGUAGAUAUCAGAAGGAACGUCGGCGGCGAAAGCGACUCUCUAGACCGUAACUGACGCUGAGUGUGCGAAAGCUAGGGGAGCAAACGGGAUUAGAUACCCCGGUAGUCCUAGCCGUAAACGAUGGGCACUAAGUAGAGGGGUUUUGAUUAUCUCUCUGCCGGAGCUAACGCAUUAAGUGCCCCGCCUGGGGAGUACGGCCGCAAGGCUAAAACUCAAAGAUUGACGGGGGCUCGCACAAGCGGUGGAGCAUGUGCUUAAUUCGAUGCACGCGAGACUUACCGGGCUGACAUGAUAGAGUAGACCCGGAAGGGCGACGACGGUAUCAGCCCGAACUA